rnacentral:rRNA from 1 species
UACGUAGGGCGCAAGCGCUGUCCGGAAUUAUUGGGCGUAAAGAGCUCGUAGGCGGCUUGUCACGUCGGAUGUGAAAGCCCGGGGCUUAACCCCGGGUCUGCAUUCGAUACGGGCUAGCUAGAGUGUGGUAGGGGAGACUGGAAUUCCUGGUGUAGCGGUGAAAUGCGCAGAUAUCAGGAGGAACACCGGUGGCGAAGGCGGGUCUCUGGGCCGUAACUGACGCUGAGGAGCGAAAGCGUGGGGAGCAAACAGG